rnacentral:rRNA from 1 species
GACGUAGGGCGCGAGCGUUGUCCGGAUUUAUUGGGCGUAAAGAGCUCGUAGGCGGCUUGUCGCGUCGACUGUGAAAUCCCGCGGCUCAACUGCGGGUCUGCAGUCGAUACGGGCAGGCUAGAGUUCGGUAGGGGAGAAUGGAACUCCUGGUGUAGCGGUGGAAUGCGCAGAUAUCAGGAAGAACACCGAUGGCGAAGGCAGUUCUCUGGGCCGUAACUGACGCUGAGGAGCGAAAGCGUGGGGAGCGAACAGG